rnacentral:rRNA from 1 species
GUACGCUUCUUUUUCCACCGGAGCUUGCUCCACCGGAAAAAGAAGAGUGGCGAACGGGUGAGUAACACGUGGGUAACCUGCCCAUCAGAAGGGGAUAACACUUGGAAACAGGUGCUAAUACCGUAUAACAAUCGAAACCGCAUGGUUUUGAUUUGAAAGGCGCUUUCGGGUGUCGCUGAUGGAUGGACCCGCGGUGCAUUAGCUAGUUGGUGAGGUAACGGCUCACCAAGGCCACGAUGCAUAGCCGACCUGAGAGGGUGAUCGGCCACAUUGGGACUGAGACACGGCCCAAACUCCUACGGGAGGCAGCAGUAGGGAAUCUUCGGCAAUGGACGAAAGUCUGACCGAGCAACGCCGCGUGAGUGAAGAAGGUUUUCGGAUCGUAAAACUCUGUUGUUAGAGAAGAACAAGGAUGAGAGUAACUGUUCAUCCCUUGACGGUAUCUAACCAGAAAGCCACGGCUAACUACGUGCCAGCAGCCGCGGUAAUACGUAGGUGGCAAGCGUUGUCCGGAUUUAUUGGGCGUAAAGCGAGCGCAGGCGGUUUCUUAAGUCUGAUGUGAAAGCCCCCGGCUCAACCGGGGAGGGUCAUUGGAAACUGGGAGACUUGAGUGCAGAAGAGGAGAGUGGAAUUCCAUGUGUAGCGGUGAAAUGCGUAGAUAUAUGGAGGAACACCAGUGGCGAAGGCGGCUCUCUGGUCUGUAACUGACGCUGAGGCUCGAAAGCGUGGGGAGCAAACAGGAUUAGAUACCCUGGUAGUCCACGCCGUAAACGAUGAGUGCUAAGUGUUGGAGGGUUUCCGCCCUUCAGUGCUGCAGCUAACGCAUUAAGCACUCCGCCUGGGGAGUACGACCGCAAGGUUGAAACUCAAAGGAAUUGACGGGGGCCCGCACAAGCGGUGGAGCAUGUGGUUUAAUUCGAAGCAACGCGAAGAACCUUACCAGGUCUUGACAUCCUUUGACCACUCUAGAGAUAGAGCUUCCCCUUCGGGGGCAAAGUGACAGGUGGUGCAUGGUUGUCGUCAGCUCGUGUCGUGAGAUGUUGGGUUAAGUCCCGCAACGAGCGCAACCCUUAUUGUUAGUUGCCAUCAUUUAGUUGGGCACUCUAGCAAGACUGCCGGUGACAAACCGGAGGAAGGUGGGGAUGACGUCAAAUCAUCAUGCCCCUUAUGACCUGGGCUACACACGUGCUACAAUGGGAAGUACAACGAGUCGCGAAGUCGCGAGGCUAAGCUAAUCUCUUAAAGCUUCUCUCAGUUCGGAUUGUAGGCUGCAACUCGCCUACAUGAAGCCGGAAUCGCUAGUAAUCGCGGAUCAGCACGCCGCGGUGAAUACGUUCCCGGGCCUUGUACACACCGCCCGUCACACCACGAGAGUUUGUAACACCCGAAGUCGGUGAGGUAACCUUUUGAGCCAGCCGC